rnacentral:rRNA from 1 species
UACGUAGGGGGCAAGCGUUGUCCGGAUUUACUGGGCGUAAAGAGCGUGUAGGCGGCCAAGCAGGUCCGUUGUGAAAACUGGAGGCUUAACCUCCAGACGUCGACGGAAACCGCGUGGCUAGAGUCCGGAAGAGGAGAGUGGAAUUCCUGGUGUAGCAGUGAAAUGCGCAGAUAUCAGGAAGAACACCAAUGGCGAAGGCAGCUCUCUGGGACGGUACUGACGUUGAGACGCGAAAGCGUGGGGAGCGAACAGG